GACGAACGCUGGCGGCGUGCUUAACACAUGCAAGUCGAACGGAAAGGCCCUGCUUUUGUGGGGUGCUCGAGUGGCGAACAGGUGAGUAACACGUGAGUAACCUGCCCUUGACUUUGGGAUAACUUCAGGAAACUGGGGCUAAUACCGGAUAGGUGCUACUGCUGCAUGGUGGGGGUUGGAAAGUUGGGGCGGUUGGGGAUGGACUCGCGGCUUAUCAGCUUGUUGGGGGGGUAGUGGCUUACCAAGGCUUUGACGGGUAGCCGGCCUGAGAGGGUGACCGGCCACAUUGGGACUGAGAUACGGCCCAGACUCCUACGGGAGGCAGCAGUGGGGAAUAUUGCACAAUGGGCGGAAGCCUGAUGCAGCAACGCCGCGUGCGGGAUGACGGCCUUCGGGUUGUAAACCGCUUUCGCCUGUGACGAAGCGUGAGUGACGGUAAUGGGUAAAGAAGCACCGGCUAACUACGUGCCAGCCGCCGCAGUAAAAC
rnacentral:rRNA from 1 species